AACGCACAUUGCGCCCGCCAGUAUUCUGACGGGCAUGCCUGUUCGAGCGUCAUUUCAAACCUCAAGCUUUUAUGCUUGGCUUUGGGGCUUCUGCGAGACACCUCGCAGGCCCUUAAAACUGACGGCAGACCUGUUAGGCCUCUGAGCGCAGUAAACUUCUCGCUUCUGGGUUCCUAAUGGCUCUCUUGCCUCACUAAUACUUUUUACCAAGUUUGACCUCGGAUCAGGUAGGAAUACCCGCUGAACUUAA
rnacentral:misc_RNA from 1 species